AUGGAUGGUGGCUUGCUGAGACCUCUGAGCGGGGACCAGAUGUCACCAGCGGGACCUCUCCCCGCACCUGGCACUUUGGCUGGGGACUGGGAGCUGCUUCGCUGCCGGCGGAGCGGCCACGGGUUGCGCCGGUCGUCUGCCCACCCACCACUCUUGCUCAAGGAUUUUGGUCGUGGGUGGGAAAAAUCGCCGCCAUCUUUCCCUGCGGAUGAGGCAGGGGACAGGGACGGGGACAGAGCUGAGCCGGUGGUGGGGAGGCAUCACUUGGGACCUGCUCGCUGGGAUCCCAGCAUCGCUUACUGCCACCUCGAGCCUCUUCCGUGUGCUUCCAGGCCUCCCAAAGGCUUUCCUCCAUCCAAUGAAAAUAAUCAGUCCAAUAAACACGAGACAUGGGAACGGCCUGAUUGCUUCCUUUUCAUGCUCAAAAGCUUGGUGCAGCAGGACUUUGCAGGGGCCAAGGGUUCCCAACACCACCUCCAGCUGGGGGGUGAUGCUGCCUGUGCUGUGAGGGGCCGGGGGUCUGGCAGGGGGCUGCGAGGGGAUUGUAUGGGAGGGGUGCGUAGCUGGAGAGCAGUUGGUGACCAGUUUUGUGCUGGCAGUGAGCCGUGUCCGGGGUGCUCACACAGACCUGUUUGCGUCUACGGACUUGUGGAUGGGGAGUUUAAGGGGAGACAGGGCCUUCCACUGGCUUUGCGCCUGCUUGGCCCAGCUGUGCGAGCUAAGGCCACUCGCCCAUCCGUGCCCUCCGCUGCGGGCAGAGUCGGUGCCGUGCCAACCCGCCGCCAGCCCAGGAUGUGCGCGGCUGCAGGAGGCUGCCAGCAGGGUCCUGAGGAUGGGGGGCUGUCAGUGGCGACUCUGACGUUCGUUGGGGUGUUGGCUGGGAGAACCGGUGAGGUCUGUAUGUUCUUUCUCCUCCUUCCACCCAACCCACCUCAGCCCCUACCUGAAACAGACCUCCACCAUCCCCCCCUGCCCCGCUGUCCCGCUGCCCACACCCAUGGCGCCUCUCCAGCCACUCAGGAGAGGGAUGGGGCCGGCCCCACGCCCACAGGCACGGCCGAGUGGCUUUCCCUGCAGCUCCUUGCCAAUCCCCCCCACCUCCUGAGACAAGAGAGAGAAAGAAAAGAAAAACAAGCGGCUCUGUUACGGAAAGGGCUGGCUGAGCUGCCGCCUGUGCUGUGGCAGAGAUCACCUGGCAGGGGCAGGAUGGAGCAUAGCUCAGCCUCUCCCAUAGUUUGA
rnacentral:lncRNA from 1 species